rnacentral:lncRNA from 1 species
AGUUGGAGAAGAAUGAGUCACUAUAUUUCAAUUUAGCAAAAUCUUGGCCAGGAUAAUCCAUCAGAUGGAUUUGAUAUUUUGAAAUACAAUGUGGACAACCAGAUUAGAGUUGACAGUUGAACUCUGGAGUAUCCUAUGAUCAUUUUGGUCAAGGGGAUGAAUUAUAUGAAAACUAUAUCCGCAUGGGUUCUAAGGAUGUUGUUCUACACAUUCGACCUAUCCGGUCGUCGGGUAUCAUUGCUAGAUGGUCACUUCGAUUGGUA